CUGAUCCUUUUGAAAAAUCCAUUCACACCCAAUGGGUUUUAUCCCUUUAGGUGAAUCAUCUAGUGUCCAUAUACUAUUGAUUUUCAUGGACUUCAAUUUAGAUUUAAUGGCUCCAAGCCACUUCUCAGAGUUAGACCACUGUAUUACAUCCCUAUAGGUGAUCGGAUCCUUGUUAAUCUCAUCGAGAUUAACAGGAUCGCCGUCCCAGACCUAAACACUGAAGUGUCUGUCCGACUAACGCGGUACUCUAUCAGAUCUCCUUAAAGGUG
rnacentral:lncRNA from 1 species